GAUGAACGCUGGCGGCGUGCCUAACACAUGCAAGUCGAGCGAGAAUUUACGAAAUGAAGCUUCGGCAGAUUUUGUAAAGGAAAGCGGCGGACGGGUGAGUAACGCGUGAGUAACCUGCCCUUAGGUGGGGGAUAACACAUCGAAAGGUGUGCUAAUACCGCAUAACAUAUGUUUACCGCAUGAUAGACAUAUCAAAGAUUUAUUGCCUAAGGAUGGACUCGCGUCUGAUUAGAUAGUUGGUGAGGUAACGGCUCACCAAGUCGACGAUCAGUAGCCGAACUGAGAGGUUGAUCGGCCACAUUGGGACUGAGACACGGCCCAGACUCCUACGGGAGGCAGCAGUGGGGAAUAUUGCGCAAUGGGGGAAACCCUGACGCAGCAACGCCGCGUGAAGGAUGAAGGUCUUCGGAUUGUAAACUUUUGUCUUAUGGGACGAAAAGGACGGUACCAUAGGAGGAAGCCACGGCUAACUACGUG
rnacentral:rRNA from 1 species